ACGGGUGAGUAACACGUAUGCAAUCCACCUGUAACAGGGGGAUAACCCGGAGAAAUCCGGACUAAUACCCCAUAAUAUGGGCGCUCCGCAUGGAGAGCCCAUUAAAGAGAGCAAUUUUGGUUACAGACGAGCAUGCGCUCCAUUAGCCAGUUGGCGGGGUAACGGCCCACCAAAGCGACGAUGGAUAGGGGUUCUGAGAGGAAGGUCCCCCACAUUGGAACUGAGACACGGUCCAA
rnacentral:rRNA from 1 species